GCGACGAAAACAGCCAAGACGACGACGAAGACGCCGACGAGGACAAAAGUGCGCGUAUAAUAUCCGCCGUGCCGGUCAGGUGUCCGUAAAGUCGUCUUCGUCAACGUUCUCGUGAAAACCACCACGAAACAUGGGCAACACCGAGAGCAACGUGGCCAGUGGCGUCAAGAAGCAGGUUGACACCUCGUCGUUGCAGAUAUACAACCUGGUCGACCUCAAAGGUUGUGGUCUUCUUGUAGAUUUGAUGAAGAAAGCUGUGCAGACGAAAAAUUUUACGGAGCUGGACAAUGCGAUCAAAACCCAAGUGGAGCCCAUGCUGUACAACAAGGGUGAAGGUAGAAUGAUACCGAUCGCCAAACUCGUAUUACUGAGAAAUCGUGAUCGUUCCCGAGCGAGAUGGCUACCGCCAUUAAAGAACAUGGAAGACGCCAAUGAUUACGACAUCGAAAAAGACAUUCCAACCAUCGAAGAACUGGAAAAACUGGGUAAGUGCACCGCGUCGUUGCGACUCAUUCCCCAAAUACUAUUUGAAAACUUUUCGCUCGCAGGAGAAGUGCAAUACCGGGAAGUGUGCUGGGAUCUGAAGGAAAGGGGUACCGUCGGUGAAACGGCGUUACAUCUAUGCUUACUCAACGCUACGUCUAUACACGCCGACUUGGCCAAAAGGCUAUUGCAUUUCUAUCCAAAACUUGUAAACGACAUUUACAUGAUUGAUGAGUAUUACGGAGAAAGCGUGUUGCACAUGGCCAUUGUCAACGAAGAUCCGGCCAUGGUGAAGGUGCUGAUGGACAGCGGGGCUGAUCUUAACGAACGGUGUUUCGGGAACUUUAUGAGUACGGAAGAUCAAAAGGCUUCACGAUCGGAUUCGCUGGACCACGAAUGGGUGAACCUGUGUCCCGACACCAAUUACGAAGGGUACGUGUAUUGGGGCGAAUAUCCACUGUCAUUUGCAGCGUGUCUCGGCCAGGAGGAGAGCUAUCGUUUGAUGUUGGCGAGAGGUGCCGACCCCAACAACCAAGACACCAACGGCAAUACGGUCUUGCACAUGCUCGUGAUUUACGAAAAAAUCUCGACGUUCGACAUGGCCUACGAGAUCGGGGCGGAGCUCAACAUUAGGAACGUGCAAAAUUUGACGCCACUCACGCUGGCCGCAAAACUGGCUCGGAUCCAAAUGUUCUUUCACAUACUCAAAAUCGAACGGGAAAUUUAUUGGCAGAUCGGCAGUAUAACUUGUGCCGCGUACCCCCUGACCCAAAUCGACACUAUCGACAACGACACGGGGCAGAUCAGCAGAAAUUCGGCACUCAACUUGGUUGUAUUUGGCGAAAGUCCAGAACACUUGGAAAUGAUGGACGGCGUGUUGGUGGAUCUGCUAAAUGCCAAAUGGAACGCUUUCGUGAAAUUCAGGUUCUAUCGGCAGUUCAUCCUGUUCGCGUUUUACUUUUCCAUAUCCAUGGUGUGCUUUGUUCUGCGUCCCGGACCACCUCCUACUGGUCUUAAACCACCACUAAUUAACUACACGUCCACAUCGACCACGGUGGCCACCACGCCGUUAGACUUCAUGGACAACGAGUCGAUGUUGCCCGACAACGUCAUAUACGACGAGAUGAUGAUUGCUGGCGGCGUUCCGAUCGAACUCGACACGGUGAUAACCACAGAAAUCAUGACAACAAACACAGCCACAGACACAGCCACCAACGAUAGCGGUAUCGAGACGCCACUGAUCUACGAAGACGGUGGUGGUGGUGGUGGUGGUAGAAGUGAUGGCACUGUAAGUUUGCAUGGUAAGAGUUCGGGUUCGGACAGAGGCAAACACAGGAGCACGUGGAAUCCGGCCAACCAUACGUUCAAGACCAACUACACAUACAACUACAACAAAUCAAAAAAAUUUUGGUGGAACAAAAGACAAAAGGUGUGCAGACUAAUGGCUGUACACUCAACUGACGAUUUAAUCAGAAUGGGAUCGGAAGUGGCAAUGUUUGUGGGAGCCUUCCUCUAUCUACUGGCUGCCGUCAGGGAAGCUGGAUUUUUGGGCACACAGAUGUUCAUUGAAAACUUGGCCAUAGCACCAGCGAGAGUGAUGUUUCUAUUUUCGUGCCUGCUCAUGAUGACCAUACCACCGCUGAGACUGACGUGCUAUGACAAAGCCGAAGACAUAAUAGCCGUAAUCAUCAUGUUGACCACUUGUCCAUACUUUUUGUUCUUCUGCAGGGGUUUCAAAACUGUCGGACCGUUCGUGGUGAUGAUCUAUAGGAUGGUCAUGGGAGACUUGCUGAGGUUCGUUUCCAUUUACAUGGUGUUCGUGAUGGGGUUCUCGCAAGCUUAUUAUGUGAUUUUCCUGUCUUACGACAACCCGCUUACGCCUGAGGGCAUUGAUGAUUCUGUGCUGAACCCAAUGCCGACACCGACCGAGUCAAUCAUGGCGAUGUUUCUGAUGUCCGUCAACACGUUCACAGACUACUAUACGGCGUUCGACAAGACUAGUCACACGUUGGUCGCAAAGUUUUCAUGGUAAUUGUGGCCAUACUGCUGGUGAACAUGUUGAUCGCCAUGAUGGGAAACACUUAUCAAAAGAUCGCCGAGACUCGGAACGAAUGGCAGAGACAAUGGGCUCGGAUUGUACUGGUGGUAGAG
rnacentral:misc_RNA from 1 species